GGGGAGGGGGCCAGGCAGCCGUUAGACAGCACAACCGAACCCAACACCGGGGCCCAACGGCAGGGGCUUGGGCAGGAGCAAGGUCCGAGGGCUGCCAGGUCCACGCUGCUUUUAUGAGCUGUAACACUCACCGCGAAGAUCUGCAGCUUCACUCCUGAGCCCAGCGAGACCACGAGCCCACCGGGAGGAACAAACAACUCCAGACGCGCUGCCUUAAGAGCUGUAACACUUGCCGUGAAGGUCUGCAGCUUCACUCCUGAGCCAGCGAGACCACGAACCCACCAGAAGGAAGAAACUCCGAACACAUCUCAACAUCAGAACGGACAGACUCCAGACGCACCACCUUAAGAGCUGUAACACUCACCGCGAGGUUCCGCGGCUUCAUUCUUGAACAAUGAAUCCUCCAAUGUACCUGACUCUCCCUUUGCGAAGAGCAUCUCCGUGGCAGAAAUCUGAAAAUGCCCCUGGGGAGACACAUGCACAAGACAGUUCGUGAGCCACACAUCUCCCCACACCAAGCUCCUCCAUACAAGACCUCGGACUGCAUCACGUAAAUGCUUUUUCAGGGGCAAAAUCUAGAGAAUCUGAAACGAGCUAUCAGCUUCCCAGUUUGCACAAUUCAUCAAGAAAUUAUGCGGGGUCACUGGCACAAAUGAUGAGGCAUCUCCUGGAAGCUUAACUUCUUAUCCAUCCCAUCUCUUGGACAGAUGAUGCCAGUUAAUUACUUUGAAUGGGUCUGUCACACGCAGCCCAACUCAACUGGAGUCCUGAGAAGGUGAACAGACCAGGAUGGAUGGCCAGGGAACUCACCAGAAGUCCCCAGGCAUCAGAACAAGGUCGAAGCAUCCUGAUUAGGGUACCAGAGGCCCAGGCAGUACUUUUGGGGUAGACGAGGUACAGACCUUUGGCUCCUCACUGUCUUCAAGCCCACAAGAAGCAUAGAGCAGAAGAAGACAGAGGAGGGCCCAUCUGGCCCACUACCUGUUCUUGUAAAUAAAGCUUUAUUGAAGCCAGGUGCUCACCUUCUAGCACAUUCUUCAAGAGUUACUCUGAGGCAAGCCAGCCGCCAUGUCAUGAGGACACUCAAGCAGCACCAUGGAGAGGUCCGAUGGCGAGGAACAGAGGAUCCCCCUGCCGACAGCCAAUGAGGAACAGGCCUCCUGCCAACAGCCGUGUAAGGGGUCACCUUGGAAGCCAAUGGCCCCUCCCUGGUCAGGCUUUUACAUGACUGCAGUCCUGGCCAACAUCCUGACGGCAACCUCAUGAGAGACCUUGAGCCAGAGCCACCCACCUAAGCUGCUUAUAGGUUCCUGGCCCUCAGAAAUCACAUGAGAUCAUAAAUGUUUGCUCAAUUUGAGAUAUUUGUGAUGUAGCAAUAAAUAACAAACACACUUACCUUUCAGGGUUAUUAUGAGAAUUAAGAGUUAAUACACAUCAAACUACAACCAAACUUGCUGGGACCAGAGGCUCAAGAAAGGGCAGACAGGGCCGGGUGCAGUGGCUCAUGCCUGUAAUCCCAAUACUUUGGGAGGCCGAGGCAGGUGGAUCAUCUGAGGUCAGGAGUUCGAGACCAGCUGGCCAACAUGGUGAAACCCUGUGUCUACUAAAAAUACAAAAAUUAGCCAGGCAUGGUGGCGGACACCUGUAAUCCCAGCUACUCGGGAGGCUGAGGCAGGCCUCACUUGAACCUGAGAGCUGGAGGCUGAAGUGAGCAGAGAUCAUGCCACCGCACUCCAGCCUGGGUGACAUAGCGAGACUCCGUCUCAAAAAAAAAAAAAAAAAAAAAAAAAGAAGAAAGGGCAGACAGAAACCACAGAAGGAGGAGUGGUUAGCUAGGUCCAGGCCAGAUGGGGUCCUGCUCCUGACGUGGAUGGUUCUGGGAGACCAAAUAUGCAAAUAGACAAUGGCCAGACCACAUAUUAAAAUAGAACUCUGCCCCCAAACCUACAGCACCAGCCCAGGAAGCCAACGAACAACCCCUGCAGCAAUCAGCCCCAAAUGGCCAGGACUUGAUGGUAACUGACAGCUUCCCUAAUUUUGUUCCCACUUUCAAUGCAGGACAAACCGGAGAAAGCCAAAUAUGCUCCCCUAACCAAUUACUUAGGAUGCCCCUCUUCUAAUGAGCCCAACUGUAGCUUUCCUGCACCACCAACAGGACGUACCUGAAGCCUUCUCCUUUUUCCGCUAUAAAGCCUUCCCCUCGGCCUGCCUUUGAGUCUCCAUGAAAAGCAAGUGACAGUGGCUGCCUCCCUUACUGUAACAAGCUCUGAAUAAACAGCCUUUGCUUGCUC
rnacentral:lncRNA from 1 species